rnacentral:tRNA from 1 species
GUCCAGGUGGCAUAGUGUUCAAUGCAUCUGCCUAGUAAGCAGGAGACCUGGGUUUGAAUCCCAGUCUGGCACA